AUUCUUAGCCUUGCUCCUAGCGUGUUCUUACCUCCUUAAGUCGAAUCCUCUCUCCAAAAGCGUCUUCUUUAGGUCGAAUUUGCACUAAAAACGUCCUCCUAUUCUCUUAGACAUGUUUAAGGAGUAUUUAUAGGCUAGAGUUGAAGUCCUUGAGUCCAAAUUCGGGUUGGAGACUUUUAACCCGCGAUCGUGGUCAACCUGGCUAUAGACCUCGCGAAGCCUGGUCUGUAGCGCGGUCAAGCUGGAUAUAGACCUCGCGAAGCCUGGUCUGUAGCGCGGUUUGGGUACUUGGCAUUUUUUGCUAUUUUCUUGCAUUUUCGUCAUCUUUUUUUGCAACCUUCACUCGUCGUUGUCUUCCGAUGCU
rnacentral:lncRNA from 1 species